rnacentral:rRNA from 1 species
GACGAACGCUGGCGGCGUGCCUAAUACAUGCAAGUUGAGCGCUGAAGGUUGGUACUUGUACCAACUGGAUGAGCAGCGAACGGGUGAGUAACGCGUGGGGAAUCUGCCUUUGAGCGGGGGACAACAUUUGGAAACGAAUGCUAAUACCGCAUAAAAACUUUAAACACAAGUUUUAAGUUUGAAAGAUGCAAUUGCAUCACUCAAAGAUGAUCCCGCGUUGUAUUAGCUAGUUGGUGAGGUAAAGGCUCACCAAGGCGAUGAUACAUAGCCGACCUGAGAGGGUGAUCGGCCACAUUGGGACUGAGACACGGCCCAACCUCCUACGGGAGGCAGCAGUAGGGAAUCUUCGGCAAUGGACGAAAGUCUGACCGAGCAACGCCGCGUGAGUGAAGAAGGUUUUCGGAUCGUAAAACUCUGUUGGUAGAGAAGAACGUUGGUGAGAGUGGAAAGCUCAUCAAGUGACGGUAACUACCCAGAAAGGGACGGCUAACUACG